rnacentral:rRNA from 1 species
UGGGGAAUAUUGGACAAUGCGGGAAACCGUGAUCCGGCAAUGCCGCGUGAGUGAUGAAGGCCUUAGGGUUGUAAAGCUCUUUUACCAGGGAUGAUAAUGACAGUACCUGGAGAAUAAGCUCCGGCUAACUCCGUGCCAGCAGCCGCGGUAAUACGGAGGGAGCUAGCGUUGUUCGGAAUUACUGGGCGUAAAGCGCGCGUAGGCGGCUAUUCAAGUCAGGGGUGAAAUCCCGGGGCUCAACCCCGGAACCGCCCUUGAAACUAGGUAGCUAGAAUACUGGGGAGGUGAGUGGAAUUCCGAGUGUAGAGGUGAAAGUCGUAGAUAUUCGGAAGAACACCAGGGGCGAAGGCGACUCACUGGACAGUUAUUGACGCUGAGGUGCGAAAGCGUUGGGAGCAAACAGGAUUAGAUGCCCGUGUAGUCC